rnacentral:tRNA from 1 species
ACCUGGGUGGCUCAGUGGUUGAGCGCCUGCCUUCGACUCAGGUGGUGACACCCGCCUGGGAUCCAGUCCCACCUCGGGCU